UGAUGUGGUUUAAUUCGAUGCAACGCGAAAACCUUACCCACCUUUGACAUGUACGGAACCUUUAGAGAUAGAGGAGUGCUCGAAAGAGAGCCGUAACACAGGUGCUGCAUGGCUGUCGUCAGCUCGUGUCGUGAGAUGUUGGGUUAAGUCCCGCAACGAGCGCAACCCUUGUCAUUAGUUGCUACAUUCAGUUGGGGCACUCUAAUGAGACUGCCGGUGACAAACCGGAGGAAGGUGGGGAUGACGUCAAGUCCUCAUGGCCCUUAUAGGUGGGGCUACACACGUCAUACAAUGGAUGGUACAAAGGGUCGCCAACCCGCGAGGGGGAGCCAAUCCCAUAAAGCCAUUCGUAGUCCGGAUCGCAGUCUGCAACUCGACUGCGUGAAGUCGGAAUCGCUAGUAAUCGUGGAUCAGAAUGUCACGGUGAAUACGUUCCCGGGUCUU
rnacentral:rRNA from 1 species